ensembl:lncRNA
AUUUUCUUAUUAGUGGUAUCUACAAGUCACCCCACUUGUAUCAGCCAAUCAUAGUUCACCAUUCCAAUGCAGCUCACUGAACUCCAUCAGAGUGAGAUCGUAGUCAGAAGAGGAUGGACGUCUUGGACUGUUCCUCACCAAUCUGUAUUUGACCUGUGUUUUAGUGCGUUCAUCUAAGUUCGAUAGGACAACAUGGCUGCUCAUUAUGGGAUUGCAAUGGUAGAGAGUCUCUGGCAGCAUGGACACAUGGAACACCAGCCAGCUUCACAGAUACAGCAGGUGACUCAAUCUAUCCAAGCACCACCCUGCUCUGACAGCAAUACCCUGGAUAGACACAGAACAUAUUACAUCUCUCCCGGGCCAGAACAAGAGCUUCCCACCAACCAAGAGAGACAUCAAUCAUCUGGAGGCUGGGACUGGAGCCACCGGGCCAAAUCCAACUGAGAGACUCCACAGCAACUCCAUUACAGGAAUAUGGAGCAGUCAUACUGUACCUUGCUAAACAAUGCAAACCAGCACAGGGAUGACCUCAGCAGAGUAUAAGUACCAGUUCUGCUCCAUAGUCCUGGUGGACACAUCAGGUAGCAAAACAUCUGGCUCCUGACUAAGAUACAUACGCCCUGUUUAUACCUGGUUCUAACAUGCGUACUAUGUUCUGCUCUUUUCCACAUUCUGAUUGUACCAACAUUUUUAGAAAGGUAUAGAUGAUUAAAGGGUAGAACUAACCUGUCUCGACAGUCUAACCCCAGCUCACGUUCCCUGUUAGUGGAUGAAAAAUCCAACGCUUGGUGAAUUCUGCUUCACAAUUGUUUGAUUGUGAUCAGAUCUUAUAAGUGUAAACAGACUAGAUCAGGUCAAGAUCAGGACAAAGGACACAUUUUAGCGGAAGGUAAACUGGACUGGAGUGUCAUCAAGGCUAACACAACGGGGUACAUAACUGUUAUAACAUAACCAAAGGUAUAGGUCAUUCUGUGAUUCAUGACGUGGUAUAAUAUGAUCUCAUGGGAAAAAUGUAUAGGCUGUACUAUGAAGUGGAAACAUGUUCAUCUUUCAUCCCACCAGAGUAAAACAUACAACAAUCCGCCAUAAAGGGGCAGGUAUAAAAUAACAGUUGAAGCAGAUAGCAGCUGUAUUUUUCUGUGCUGUUUAGCCAUACUCUCAGGCUAUGUGGUUGAGAUCUGAUGAUCUUUGUUGCAGGGCAGGUGGAGGGUUAUCUGGAUUUGGCCAAAUCUCUACCCUGGACCUGUAUUUAUGGACCAGAGCUAAUCAUACCUGUCACAUCAAAGAGCUAGCAUUUCUACUGUUUCCCUGUUCAGUGCUGACACCUGGAUAGGAAUGUUUAUUUGUAGGAUUGAGCCUGGCACACCUCCACAAGGAGCACACAGAACCACUCACAGUCAUUACAGGAGUAGAGUGCAGGAAGCGUGUACUGUGUUUCAAUGGGGAAAACAAACUGUAGUAGAAUCCAAGUUCAGUAGGCUACGGCAGGUCAAGGUGAGUCAAGUUCGAAAGACGUGCCAUUCAAAUCAAAAAGUGAGCUGAAUACAUAUGAGCAGCCUUUCUAGGGGUGGUGCCCAGUAGGAACCUGGGAGUAAACAGUGUUCUUGUAAUGCACAAAGAGUGUGUUUGCAGUGACAACACAUCAUCUCCAUUGAAGAUACUCAUUGUAGUCAAAAGCAUGUGGCCUAAAACAGAUUGUUCUCUGUCUGAUCUCAGUCAGCACUACUGCUCUUCAGAAGCCAGGCUCUUGGACAGCCUCUUGGUUCUGAGAGGGACUUGACUGUCAGUCUCAGCCCACCAGAGGAAUAGUGACAAAGCUGAUGAAGGCUGCUGAGAGCUGAGCUGCUGAUGAGACAGAUGCUGAGGGCGUCAAGAGACACAAACUAUUAAACACAGCUUAGAGAUGCUCACAUGGCUGCUGUGGAAGACAUUGAGAGUGGCACGAAGGCUCUUUCUAAAAGGAAAGUUAAAUAUAUGUAAUAAGACAAUUUAGUAUAUUUAUUCAAGGGGAUUUUACAAUGAAUGACUGACCCAUUUGUGUUACGUCCAUAAUGAUUACAUAUGAUCAUUGAACUAGAGCACAUUCAAAACACAUUUGACAUCAACCCUGCGCAGGUCCUAAAACCUGGCACAGUGAUAUUGAAUAAUCCCUGGCAUGACACAGCAAUAAUCCUAGGAGGUGGCUCUCACCCCAGGUCACCAUAGGGACCUGCUCCUAAUCCAAGGUCAAUUUCUCAACCAACAAGUCUGGUCAUAAUAUAACAUUAUAACUAUGUUACCACAGGACAAUAACUGACUACAUGGGGAAAUGUUCCAUUAAAGUGCUAUUUGUGUCCUUAUUUUUCUUGGAUUGU